CCUACGGGAGGCAGCAGUGAGGAAUAUUGGUAAAUGGACGAGAGUCUGAACCAGCCAAGUAGCGUGAAGGCUAACUGCCCUAUGGGUUGUAAACUUCUUUUAUAUGGGAAUAAAAUGUUCCACGUGUGGGAUUUUGUAUGUACCAUAUGAAUAAGGAUCGGCUAACUCCGUGCCAGCAGCCGCGGUAAUACGGAGGAUCCGAGCGUUAUCCGGAUUUAUUGGGUUUAAAGGGAGCGUAGGUGGAUUGUUAAGUCAGUUGUGAAAGUUUGCGGCUCAACCGUAACAUUGCAGUUGAAACUGGCAGUCUUGAGUACAGUAGAGGUGGGCGGAAUUCGUGGUGUAGCGGUGAAAUGCUUAGAUAUCACGAAGAACUCCGAUUGCGAAGGCAGUUCACUGGACUGCAACUGACACUGAGGCUCGAAAGUGUGGGUAUCAAACAGGAUUAGAUACCCUAGUAGUC
rnacentral:rRNA from 1 species